GUAGGUGAACCUGCGGAAGGAUCAUUACUGAAUUGUCAACAAGAGUUGUUGCUGGUCCCCAGAUGGGGGCAUGUGCACGCUCUGUUAACACAUCCACUCACACCCUGUGCACCCUCUGCAGUUCUAUGGUUGGGGGGGACCUGUCCUCUCCUGCUGUGGUUCUGCAUCUUUACAUACACACUGUAACAAAGUCUCAUGGAAUGCAUGUCGCGUUUAACGCAAUAAAAUACAACUUUCAGCAACGGAUCUC
rnacentral:misc_RNA from 1 species